UGGGGAAUCUUCCGCAAUGGACGAAAGUCUGACGGAGCAACGCCGCGUGAGUGAUGACGGCCUUCGGGUUGUAAAGCUCUGUUAAUCGGGACGAAUGGUUCUUGUGCGAAUAGUGCGAGGAUUUGACGGUACCGGAAUAGAAAGCCACGGCUAACUACGUGCCAGCAGCCGCGGUAAUACGUAGGUGGCAAGCGUUGUCCGGAAUUAUUGGGCGUAAAGCGCGCGCAGGCGGAUUGGUCAGUCUGUCUUAAAAGUUCGGGGCUUAACCCCGUGAUGGGAUGGAAACUACCAAUCUAGAGUAUCGGAGAGGAAAGUGGAAUUCCUAGUGUAGCGGUGAAAUGCGUAGAUAUUAGGAAGAACACCAGUGGCGAAGGCGACUUUCUGGACGAAAACUGACGCUGAGGCGCGAAAGCCAGGGGAGCGAACGGG
rnacentral:rRNA from 1 species